AGAUUUCAUCACAUAUAAUUUGAAUUUUAAAACUGCCAUAAAUUAUAAAAUCUCCUUAUACAUUAAAUUAGCAUUAAUGUGCAAUUAAAAUGAAUAAAAUAAAAACAUAUGGUGGCAAUUAUCUAAAAUAAUAUAUAAAAUUAUUUAAAGAUUUAUUUAAUUAAAAUAAUAUAGUCCAGUUCCACGUUUUAUUUAUUCAAUAAUACAUAAUGUAAGUUUAUAUAACAUUACCUAUUAACAACUUUGUAUAUAAACUUUAACUUAGAUGUUCAUUUUAAAAUUAUUUCAUAAUAAACUUUAUUAUAAUUUUU
rnacentral:rRNA from 1 species